CUAAACUGAGGAAAGUCGACCGAUACUGAUCGGCUAGAGGGACGUAGAGGUAAGCGGAACUCUCGGAGUAGCGGUGAAAUGCGUAGAGACCGAGAGGUACCCCGAUGGUGAAGACAGCUUACUGGGCGUCUCCUGACGCUGAAGCGCUAAGGCCAGGGGAGCGAAGGGGAUUAGAUACCCCCGUAGUCCUGGCUUCAAACGAUGUGGGCUUGGUGUCGGCUCCCGAUAGAGAGUCGUUGCCGGAGCUAACGUGUUAAGCCCACCGCCUGGGGAUUACGUCCGCAAGGAUGAAACUCAAGGGAAUUGACGGGGGCCCACACAACCGGUGGAGCACGUGGUUUAAUUCGAUGAUAAGCGAAGAACCUUACCAGGGCUUGACCUAGCGGUGGUAGGAUCCUGAAAAGGAAACGACCUCAAGCUUUGCUUGAGGAGCC
rnacentral:rRNA from 1 species